CAUGCAGUCGAGCGAAUGGAUUAAGAGCUUGCUCUUAUGAAGUUAGCGGCGGACGGGUGAGUAACACGUGGGUAACCUGCCCAUAAGACUGGGAUAACUCCGGGAAACCGGGGCUAAUACCGGAUAACAUUUUGAACCGCAUGGUUCGAAAUUGAAAGGCGGCUUCGGCUGUCACUUAUGGAUGGACCCGCGUCGCAUUAGCUAGUUGGUGAGGUAACGGCUCACCAAGGCAACGAUGCGUAGCCGACCUGAGAGGGUGAUCGGCCACACUGGGACUGAGACACGGCCCAGACUCCUACGGGAGGCAGCAGUAGGGAAUCUUCCGCAAUGGACGAAAGUCUGACGGAGCAACGCCGCGUGAGUGAUGAAGGCUUUCGGGUCGUAAAACUCUGUUGUUAGGGAAGAACAAGUGCUAGUUGAAUAAGCUGGCACCUUGACGGUACCUAACCAGAAAGCCACGGCUAACUACGUGCCAGCAGCCGCGGUAAUACGUAGGUGGCAAGCGUUAUCCGGAAUUAUUGGGCGUAAAGCGCGCGCAGGUGGUUUCUUAAGUCUGAUGUGAAAGCCCACGGCUCAACCGUGGAGGGUCAUUGGAAACUGGGAGACUUGAGUGCAGAAGAGGGAAAGUGGAAUUCCAUGUGUAGCGGUGAAAUGCGUAGAGAUAUGGAGGAACACC
rnacentral:rRNA from 1 species